rnacentral:rRNA from 1 species
UACGUAGGUGGCAAGCGUUACUCGGAAUCACUAGCGUAAAGCGCAGGUAGGCGGUUUGGUAAGUCUUUUUGUGAAAGCUCCCGGCUCAAACUGGGAGAGGUCAAAGGAAACUACUAGGCUAGAGUGUGGUAGGGGAUACUGGAAGUUCCUGGUGUAGCGGUGAAAUGACGUAGAUAUCAGGAGGAAUACCUAUGGCGAAAGCAGGUAUCUGGGCCAUCACUGACGCUGAGCUGCGAAAGCUAGGGGAGCAAACAGG